UACGUAGGUGGCAAGCGUUGUCCGGAAUCACUGGGCGUAAAGGGCGCGUAGGUGGCCGAGCAAGGUCGCGGUGAAAGCCCGGGGCUCAACCCCGGGUCGGCCGUGGCAACUACUGGGCUGGAGCACUGUAGGGGCGGGUGGAAUUCCGGGUGUAGCGGUGGAAUGCGUAGAGAUCCGGAAGAACACCGGUGGCGAAGGCGGCCCGCUGGGCAGUUGCUGACACUGAGGCGCGACAGCGUGGGGAGCAAACAGG
rnacentral:rRNA from 1 species